UACGAAGGUGGCAAGCGUUGUUCGGAUUACUGGGCGUACAGGGAGCGUAGGCGGUUGGAUAAGCCCUCCGUGAAAUCUCCAGGCUUAACCUGGAAAGUGCAGAGGGGACUGUUCAGCUAGAGGAUGGGAGAGGAGCGCGGAAUUCCCGGUGUAGCGGUGAAAUGCGUAGAGAUCGGGAGGAAGGCCGGUGGCGAAGGCGGCGCUCUGGAACAUUUCUGACGCUGAGGCUCGAAAGCGUGGGGAGCAAACAGG
rnacentral:rRNA from 1 species